rnacentral:misc_RNA from 1 species
CCAUGAAUCAAGAAAAGAAAUAUGCUGUGCAAGAAACACUUCUUCAUUUUGAACCCAUAAUAAAAGGGUGCAAGUAUAUAAUAUAUAUGCCCAUUCUGAUUAUCAUUUGCACAAUAUUGCAAUCCAGAAUCUACAUCUCUUUGCUUUCCACUAUGCUUAUAGUGUGUGGAUUGCUAUCAUUUUGUGGUAGAAAUUAUAGAUUUUCUAAUUAUGGAAACAAAAAUUGCAAGUGCUACAUACAUAUUUAUUUCCAUCUAGAGUGGGUUGCAAUAGUUCGGUUGGAGGGGAGAGGGGAAUCACACUCACCUGGAAGCUGGACCAGUCUGGAU